rnacentral:rRNA from 1 species
CCUACGGGAGGCAGCAGUGAGGAAUAUUGGUCAAUGGUCGGGAGACUGAACCAGCCAAGCCGCGUGAGGGAGGAAGGUACAGAGUAUUGUAAACCUCUUUUGUCAGGGAACAAAGGCGGGGACGUGUCCCCGGAUGAGUGUACCUGAAGAAAAAGCAUCGGCUAAUUCCGUGCCAGCAGCCGCGGUAAUACGGAGGAUGCGAGCGUUAUCCGGAUUUAUUGGGUUUAAAGGGUGCGAAGGCGGUCUGUUAAGUCAGCGGUCAAAGCCCGGGGCUCAACCCCGGCCCGCCGUUGAAACUGGCAGUCUCGAGUUGGAGAGAGGUAUGCGGAAUGCGCGGUGUAGCGGUGAAAUGCAUAGAUAUCGCGCAGAACUCCGAUUGCGAAGGCAGCAUGCCGGCUCCACACUGACGCUGAGGCACGAAAGCGUGGGUAUCGAACAGGAUUAGAUACCCGAGUAGUC